rnacentral:rRNA from 1 species
UGGUGGAUGCCUUGGCAUCAGAGGCCGAUGAAGGACGUGGGAGGCUGCGAUAUGCCUCGGGGAGCUGCCAACCGAGCGUUGAUCCGAGGAUGUCCGAAUGGGGAAACCCAGCACGAGUGAUGUCGUGUUACCCGUAUCUGAAUUCAUAGGGUGCGGGAGGUAACGCGGGGAAGUGAAACAUCUCAGUACCCGUAGGAAGAGAAAACAAUAGUGAUUCCGUGAGUAGUGGCGAGCGAAA